CCCUUAGAUGUUCUGGGCCGCACGCGCGCUACACUGACGAAUUCAACGAGUUUAUAACCUUUGCUGGGAGGCAUGGGUAAUCUUGUAAACGUUCGUCGUGAUGGGGAUAGAUUAUUGCAAUUGUUAAUCUUCAACGAGGAAUUCCUAGUAAACGCAAGUCAUCAGCUUGCAUUGAUUACGUCCCUGCCCUUUGUACACACCGCCCGUCGCACCUACCGAUUGAAUGGUCCGGUGAAUUCUUCGGACUGCGGCUUUGACUCGAUUUCGGUCGAGGCGUUGCUGCGGGAAGUUGAUUAAACCUUACCAUUUAGAGGAAGGUGAAGUCGUANCA
rnacentral:rRNA from 1 species